GGUCAGGAUAGCUCAGCUGGUAGAG
rnacentral:tRNA from 1 species